GGGCAAUUGGUCUAGUGGUAUGAUUUUCCCUUAGCAAGUCUUGCAACUUCACGAUGUAAGAAAACGUGGGAAAGGUCCUGGGUUCAAUUCCCAGAUUGUCCA